rnacentral:rRNA from 1 species
CCUAUCUGGUUGAUCCUGCCAGUAGUCAUAUGCUUGUUUCAAAGACUAAGCCAUGCAUGGCUAAGUCCUAGCUGUGCGUUGUUGGUGCAAGCCUUCGCGCACGGCGAAACCGCGGACGGCUCAUUAAAUCAGUCGUGGUCCAGAUGGGCUAGUGUUAUCUUACUUGGAUAACUGUGGUAAUUCCAGAGCUAAUACAUGCAACUCUAAGGUCUGAUCGGCCGGGCUUUGUUCGGCUGUGACGACUGCUUUUAUUAGACCAAACCGCUAUGAGCUUCGGCUCUUAGACCCGUGUUAUGGUGACUCUGAAUAACACCACUUGACAAGCGCACGUAUCCACUUCGUUGGGACGGCGCUGCCACUUUCGAGUGUCUGCCUUAUCAGCUAUGUAUCGUUCGUUAUGUGCGAACGAUGGCUUUGACGGGUAACGGGGAAUCAGAGUUCGAUUCCGGAGAGGCAGCCUGAGAAACGGCUACCACGUCCAAGGACGGCAGCAGGCACGCAAAUUACCCAAUCCCAGCACCUGGGGGAGGUAGUGACGAAAUCUAACGAUGCGGGCGCCCCUUCUGGGGCCCCGCAAUCGGAAUGAGCAUUUUCUUUCUAAACACCCUGUUGAGAACCUACUGAAGGGCAAGUCUGGUGCCAGCAGCCGCGGUAAUUCCAGCUUCAGCAGCAUAUACUAAUGUUGCUGCGGUUAAAAGGCUCGCAGUUGAAUGUCAGUAUCGAGCGUAGCAUGGUGGACGUUGGGGUUUGUCUUUGCUGAAGCUUGGUGUGGUGUCCUCGGACGUCUCCCUUGUGGAAGCGGGGCAAGUUUGAAGCUCCCGUCCGUGUCAAGCCUCCUCGCUCGUGUACAAAGUGGAUGGGUCUGUUACUGGGUUGUUGUGAAGGGGAUCACUCUCUGGAUCAUCACACCCUUGAGCCUCCAAUGGCACCUUGAGUAAAUCAGAGUGCUCAAAGCAGUCGUAAGGAGGGUUCCGUUUCGGCGGGCCCUCCGUGAGUAAUGUCAUUGUGACAGACUGACUUGGUUUUGCAUGGUAUGUCGAAAGACGCCGCCGCUGUUGGUAACGGGUCUUUGUGCGGGUGUGCCAAAGAGUCUAUGGCUCUGAGGUGCACGUUCAAGAACCAACAGUUGCGGAAUGAUUAAGAGGAACGGUCGAGGGCAUUGGUAUUGCGAGGCGAGAGGUGAAAUUCUAUGACCCCCGCAAGACCUCCUGAAGCGAAAGCGUCUGCCAAGGACGUUUUCAUUAAUCAUGAACGAAAGUUAGAGGAUCGAAGGCGAUCAGAUACCGCCCUAGUUCUAACCCUAAACGAUGCCAACCAUCAAUCCGCGCGUAGCACCCUUUCUAACGGGCUCGGCGGGCAGCUCCCCUCUCACGGGAAACCAGAGUCUCUGGGUUCCGGGGGGAGUCUGGUUGCAAAGCUGAAACUUAAAGGAAUUGACGGAAAGGCACCACCAGGCGUGGAGGCUGCGGCUUAAUUUGACUCAACACGGGCCAUCUCACCAGGCCAGCACUCUUGUAUGAUUGACAGAUUGAGAGUUCUUUCUCGAUUCAGUGGAUGGUGGUGCAUGGCCGUUCUUAGUUGGUGGAGUGAUCUGUCUGGUUAAUUCCGAUAACGAACGAGACUCUCCCCUGCUAACUAGUCGGUUGGAUCUUGCUAUAAGAGUGGCGAGGUGUGAGGGGUUGUGUGUGUGCGCUUGCUUUCGGGCUUGUGUGCGUGCGCUCUCUUUGCGCUCUCUGCCACUUUCAAGUCUACCGCUUGCCUGGCUGUGGGGGGUUCGCGCGUGCACACGGUGGGCAAAACUCUUCUUAGAGGGAUUGACGGUUCUGAAGCCGUAAGAGAUUGAGAGCAAUAACAGGUCUGUGAUGCCCUUAGAUGUUCUGGGCCGCACGCGCGCUACAAUGCCGGGCUCAGCAGGUGCUUGUCCUUCUCCGAGAGGAGUGGGUAACCCUGUGAAAGCCCUUUAAACACUCUUGGUGCUGUGUUCUCUGAACUCAGCCUCUUGGCUUGCUUGGGCCUGGGACUUGCAAUUCUUUCCCACAAACGAGGAAUGCCUAGUAGCGGCGGAUCACUGAGUUCGCUGUGACUCAGUCCCUGCCCUUUGUACACACCGCCCGUCGCUACUACCGAUUGGAUGUACCAGUGAGAUCCUUGGACUGGCGAGCCUUGCGCACUGUAGUUCGCUGCAGAGUGCUUGUGUGUACGACGGAAAGAGGCUCGAACUGGUAUAUUUAGAGGAAGUAAAAGUCGUAACAAGGUUCCCGUAGGUGAACCUGCGGAAGGAUCAUUA